rnacentral:lncRNA from 1 species
GAAAAUUCUAAAGUAUAUCUCAAGCUAUGACAUAUGCAUCUAGGAGUAUGUUUCAGAUUACCUUAAACUGUACAUCACAAAAAUACAUACUUUUGAAGUAUUUCACAUAUGUUCAUUUUUCUCUUUUAAUGAAUUUCCCUUUAACUCUUACACAUCUGCCUAACAGUACACAAGGAGGAAAUCUGUAGAGUUUGUUAUUAGCCUUUAAAUAAGGUUAAAUUGCCAUUUAUGUAAGCGUAGAUAAUUAUUGUAUCCAUCCAAAUUUGAGAGUAGGAUUUGGACUUUUUUGUGACUUGCAAGAUUUGAAUGCAGCCUUCUAGAAUGUCAGUACUGUCAUUGCAGAUUUUGCAGCUUCAGCAUCCUGAUGAUGGCUUGCCUCAGAAAUGCAGYUGCUGUCUGAAUGAGGAGUACAUAGAGAUGUAUGUAGCCUGCAUUAUCAUUUAAUACAGCCCAGUAGCCUGGAUCCAGCUAGCUCUGGUGCUACAAAAUCAAGACAGAGCAUUGAAAAGGAUAUUUCUAUACAAAGACCCAUUUAAGCUUUAUUCAUUAAAAAACAGUAAAUUCCGGGUUUUCUCUGAAUGAAGAGCACAUGUGGAAGGGAGCAGGGUGUCGAGAUACUGAAGUUAACAUCAGAUGAGCUGGCUCUGGAAUCAGAAGCAAUGCAGUCAUGACACUGAAGCGCUGCGCUGGAGGUAAAUGCCCUGGCAGAGAUGCUGGCCUAGUUACACAUGACAGUCUAACACCGUCCUUCCUUCUGGGAUCUGUGCUAGUACUGCUGCACUGCAACAUAUUGAUGUCCUGUUUCAGCCCCUCAAAGCUUUUGCUGGAGCUCUUCUAUGAAAUUUGGACUCCGAUUUUACAGCACCUGGAGUGACCAGAGGCCUGUCCCGAUUGGAGCCUUUGGCAUGGACCGUAGUACGGACAGGGAGCAAUAGCAGUAACAGAGCACCUGCUCUGCCAAAAACGGCUCAGGCGCCCGGCUUCAGAGGUGGGCCAGCUCUUGCCAAUUGCUCGUCUGAUGCGCAGAGAUGCUACACAAGUUGCAUGUGCUGCCAUUCACGUUAAUAAACUGUAGCGCACAUUGACA